ACCUGGGUGGCUCAGUAGGUUAAGCGUCUGACUUUAGCUCAGGUCAUGAUCUCAUGGUUCGUGGGUUCAAGUCCUGCAUCGGGCU
rnacentral:tRNA from 1 species